GGAAACAUUUACAGCCUAGCCAGGAAAAUAUGUAACAGAGGAGUGCUAUAAUACACUGUGCUUAACAUCGUGUCCGGAGCUCAUCUUGGAACAGAGAGGCUGCUGUUUCUUCUGAAAUCUUCCAGGGGGUGAAGGUCAGAAGCUGAUGCAUGUUAGUAUGAUGAAGAAUACCUUUUCUAAUCUGCUCAUCAGACGCCGUUGGAAAUGAAGAAUGAAUAAGUAAUGUUUUCAAAGCCCGUGGGAAAUCAUGAGGCUACAGAUUCUAUCUUCUGAACUAACAGUCUGGAGAGGAAUAGUUCCAGCAAACUCUUUGGUGCACGAAGUGCGGCCUGUUUAACAGGAGCCAGGAGACAUCUCGGUGCUGUUUCUGAGAAAGCAGGGCUGCUGAAAUAAACAAGCGAACUUGUGUUCUUGCUUCUGUGUUAGACCGCACCCAGAUAUUGGCGUCAUCAGAAGAGAAACAUCUGCAGAAGCUCUGGAGGUCUUACAUAUUCAUCAUUUGACAGAUAAAAAUCGGAAGAUUCUGGCUUAUGUUGAUCAUGAAGAAUUGUUACAAGGCUUAAACGAGACGAUGUUUGUGAAAUCGCUUUGAAGAUGAUAAAGCAUGAGGAAGUCAUGAUAACUCAAAAAACGUUCUUGGCAACUGGGCAUCUGCUGUGCAUAAGGUAACUUUAUUCUGGGGAAGCUAGCGGAGUGCGUCUGCCCAGUGUGGAACUUGGGAAGGGAACCGAGCCACGGAGAGAAUCCCUCGCCUCUGGGAUCAGACAGGAGAUGCAGCGUCAUGCCUCUGCUGGGGUCAGCAGUGCUCCAGCAUCAUGGGGACCAGAAGCCAGAAGCCGGUGGCUGCUGCCAAGGGCAGACCUGCGAGGUCCUGACGGCGGGGCUUCACGCACCGCCGGUGGAGGACUCACGGACACUUUGGGAAUGCCUACCGCCAGCUGGCCUCUGCCCGUGUUCUCUUCAUGCGUUAUCUCAGCUGGUCCUUUGCGAGGGUCCCAAUUUUUCACAGGGGAAGAAGUUCGUGUCCCGGUACGUCACAGGUGAGGAAAGGGAGGCCCAGAGAAAUUAAAUAAUGUGCCCAAGUCACACAGGCGUAAUAAUAAAAGACAUCCAACAAAUGAUGAUUGUGAAAAAUGCCUGUGGCAAUGAAUAAGUUCAAAGUCAUCGCCAAUUAUAACAAAUAACAAAAUAUUGGCUCUAGAGCUCUUUGGUGCUCUUCUACUCCUUACUUUUAAUAUAGACUUUUUAACCAGAGCGUAAACAUCCCUUGUAGAAAAUGUCUCGUGGCUUAUACUGAGGACUGAUUACCCACAGUUUUUGAUUCUUGACCCCAUUUUCAUCCCUGACACUCUGGGUGGCCUUGAGUGGGAAAAACAGCUUCCCCAUAUCUAUCGUUUCUCCACCUAUGGUGUGGGUCUAAUAAGGCCUCCCUUGAAAGCAUGUUGUGGAGGCGAAUUAUCAUCAAGUCAUUUUUGUGUGUGUGCCUCUGAUGCGGACUAGAAACCCAAAGGGCCACCCAGACUUCAGCCCUGUGGUCAGGUCUUGGCUUCUCUUGGACAGAGACUAGAGCAUCGCUUCUUGGUGGGCUUCCAAGCCUCUCGCUGUCUGCUCCUGGUACGGGGCAGGGCCAGGGCUCUGUGUUCACAUGCAGCAUUACUUGGAGUAGGUUACUGUAAGUCCCCUGUGGUCAAGGAGUAAGCGAUACCGUUUAUUAUAGGGUUACUUGGGAAACAUUUUCAACUAAUAGGGAUCAUAAGGCAGGGACAAUGUCACUCGAUAUGCUUGUGAUCCAAUAGGGAAAAUCCUGUUC